GAUGAACGCUGGCGGCGUGCCUAACACAUGCAAGUCGAACGAAGCACUGUCGAAUGAGGAUUCGUCUGAAUUUGGCUUUGACUUAGUGGCGGACGGGUGAGUAAUGCGUGAGCAACCUGCCUUUCAGAGGGGGACAACAGUUGGAAACGACUGCUAAUACCGCAUGACAUAUUGAGAUCGCAUGGUUUUAAUAUUAAAGAUUUAUCGCUGAAAGAUGGGCUCACGUCUGAUUAGUUAGUUGGUGAGGUAACGGCUCACCAAGACUGCGAUCAGUAGCCGGACUGAGAGGUUGAACGGCCACAUUGGGACUGAGAUACGGCCCAGACUCCUACGGGAGGCAGCAGUGGGAAUAUUGGGCAAUGGGCGAAAGCCUGACCCAGCAACGCCGCGUGAAGGAAGAAGGUUUUCGGAUUGUAAACUUCUUUUAUCAGGGACGAAGAAAGUGACGGUACCUGAUGAAUAAGCCACGGCUAACUACGUGCCAGCAGCCG
rnacentral:rRNA from 1 species